AAUGACAACCAUAUAGCGGCAUACUUUUGUUUUCUUUAUCAUCACUUUGCUUGCCUCAAAACUUCAUCUGAAUAUAUAGUUGAAUCUAUCAUUUCCACAAUGAUAUAUUCCUCUAAAAACUGUGAGAUGGAGAGUCAACAAGAGAAAGACAUGGAGUUUCCUUCUAGGAAGUGGAGUGAAAAGACUAUGAAUGCGUAUAUUCAUAGUCAAAUUAUGCGAAUUAGAGCAGAGGAUUUGCAACUUGGGGAAGAUAUAGCCAAGAAGCUUAGGCAGAGAGUUGUUGAUCAAGAUGUUGCCUCGUCUGUUAUGCUAUUGUCAAGGCCUAUGUUGCCUGCUUCACCUCUUAGUGGAAAAACGGCCAUAAAAUCUGCUAAUUGAUCACAAACUAGGAAGAUUUACUGUACGACUGAGGAAUAUGGGAGACGACCGUCCACAGGGAAGAGGGAUAAUGAAGAUGAUGUAAAUAGAGAUGGAGAUGAAGUUCCUUUUCUUAUCAGUUCCGUUUUGUAUGUUUUGCUGUACAGUAAUACGUAUAAAGUAGGCAGAAUACAGACGAAAACUCCUCACUAUGUACCUUUAAAAAAGAAAAUACGUAGCACGAUAAUCAAAGUUAGUGAAUACUAGUGACUACUUACCUGUCAAUUAAAAAAAAAAGGUUAAUGAACACGUCUCUGUAUGUUCGACCUAA